rnacentral:rRNA from 1 species
GUGCCUACCGAGCUGAGGCUCAUCAACCCUGUGACAUACCUAUAACGUUGCCUCGGCGGGAACAGACGGCCCCGUAACACGGGCCGCCCCCGCCAGAGGACCCCCUAACUCUGUUUCUAUAAUGUUUCUUCUGAGUAAACAAGCAAAUAAAUUAAAACUUUCAACAACGGAUCUCUUGGCUCUGGCAUCGAUGAAGAACGCAGCGAAAUGCGAUAAGUAAUGUGAAUUGCAGAAUUCAGUGAAUCAUCGAAUCUUUGAACGCACAUUGCGCCCGCCAGUAUUCUGGCGGGCAUGCCUGUUCGAGCGUCAUUACAACCCUCAGGCCCCCGGGCCUGGCGUUGGGGAUCGGCGGAAGCCCCCUGCGGGCACAACGCCGUCCCCCAAAUACAGUGGCGGUCCCGCCGCAGCUUCCAUUGCGUAGUAGCUAACACCUCGCAACUGGAGAGCGGCGCGGCCACGCCGUAAAACACCCAACUUCUGAAUGUUGACCUCGAAUCAGGUAGGAAUACCCGCUGAACUUAAGCAUAUCAAAGUCGGGAGGAAG